CGUAGGGUGCGAGCGUUAAUCGGAAUUACUGGGCGUAAAGCGUGCGCAGGCGGUUUAGUAAGGCAGGCGUGAAAUCCCCGGGCUCAACCUGGGAACUGCGCUUGUGACUGCUAAGCUAGAGUACGGCAGAGGGGGGUGGAAUUCCACGUGUAGCAGUGAAAUGCGUAGAGAUGUGGAGGAACACCAAUGGCGAAGGCAGCCCCCUGGGUCGAUACUGACGCUCAUGCACGAAAGCGUGGGUAGCAAACAGGAUUAGAUACCCUGGUAGUCCACGCCCUAAACGAUGUCAACUAGGUGUUGGGAGGGUAAAACCUUUUAGUACCGGAGCUAACGCGUGAAGUUGACCGCCUGGGGAGUACGGCCGCAAGGUUA
rnacentral:rRNA from 1 species